AGAUAUUAGUUACUGAAGUAUCAUCAAUCAUGUCCACAAUACUGCUGAAAAUCCUACGAGAACUAUUAUACAACAUACCAAAUUUUAAGAAUUUUCAAUUGUCCUCAAUAAUCCUCUUAUCAAUUAUGGCAUACCAAUUUUUAUGUUUGCUUACACAAAAUAACACAUUGAAAAGUUGCUCCAUCAGCUCUCGUCCCCUUGAUUCCAUAGCAAGAAUUCAAAAAUCAAAGGAAGAGAUAAAUGCCAACAAACAAAACUCCUUACAGCCACACCAAUAAUGCAUCUAUAAAUAGCAAUAUUAGAAGCAUAUUAUCCAUAUGACCUUUUAUCUUCAAGCAAGUCUGAAAAAAUAUAAAGAGAAAAAUGCAAUAAAGUUGAAUGAAUUUUGUUCGUCAAAACUUAAUUAUAAGGCUUUUAUAUAAAUCAUAUAUGGUAUAGACCUUUUUAAUACAUAUUUUCACGUGUAAUAGAAAGACUAUUAAACAGGAUGAACAAGUGAUACACACCUCACAUGAGUGAUUAAUUAGAUGAGCAAUACUUUCAAUCCUUGUGAUUAAUCAAAUGCUAUAAAGUUUGAUCUAAACAUACAAGUCACAACACAUCCUACACAUUGAAGUGUUGCUCCAUCAGCUCCCAUUCCCUUCAUUCCCAGAACAGAAAUUCACCAUUCAAAGGAAGAGACAAAUGCCAACAAAUAUAUUUCUCUACAGCCACACCAACAACAAUAAAACAAUGUUGGUUCAAUAACAACGACUAUAAGUGAUAGUUUUACUAGUAUGGGCUAGUUACAACAGCAUUCAGUAAAUCCAGAAAAGAAAAAUCAUCUUCUUUAUUAAAAAUCCGAUUCUUCUUGCAAAAUUAGGAGAAUAAUUGGUUAUUUUUUUAAAAUUGUAUCCUCUAAGACAGGAAAACCAAUAUACAUGAAUAAGACUUUGAAGAUUUUGCAAUUAAUUGUAAAAUAUUCUGAGGAAUCAUGGUUUUGCAAUUAACAAAAACAGCAGCUCAAUUUUGCAUUUACGCUUCAAAAGUCAAACUCAAGCAUUACAGCAAAGAAAACCUAUCAAGAAACAACUUACCAUUUCCAUC